rnacentral:rRNA from 1 species
GAUGAACGCUAGCGGCAGGCUUAACACAUGCAAGUCGAGGGGUAUAGUUCUUCGGAACUAGAGACCGGCGCACGGGUGCGUAACGCGUAUGCAAUCUACCUUUUGCAGAGGGGAUAGCCCAGAGAAAUUUGGAUUAAUACCUCAUAGUAUAAUGACUCGGCAUCGAGAUAUUAUUAAAGUCACAACGGCAAAAGAUGAGCAUGCGUCCCAUUAGCUAGUUGGUAAGGUAACGGCUUACCAAGGCUACGAUGGGGUAGGGGUCCUGAGAGGGAGACUCCCCCACACUGGUACUGAGACACGGACCAGACACCUACGGGAGGCUG